GAAUUCAUCAGUAAUGGUAACCUAUUUUAAGUUUUUUAUAUCCCAUUGUUUCCUUCCCCGUGUUGGCUUUCAGCUGGACAGAUUUCACCUUGUGUGGGUCUUUUGGUUUUUUGUCGAACUCCCCCUUGCCAAAGAGUUGCCAGUGGUAAGACUUAUUUAUCAAAACUUGAGUUUCAAUAAACACAACUGUCUGAAUAUUUUUUUUCUUUAAUGAAAUAAAACUUUCAACAAGGGAUCUCUAGGCUCUUGCAUCGAUGAAGAACGCAGUGAAAUGCGAUAAGUAAUGUGAAUUGCAGAAUCUCGUGAAUCAUUGAAUCUUUGAACGCACAUUGCGCCCUAUGGUAUUCCCUUGGGCAUGCCUGUCUGAGCGUCAGCUCCCCCUCCACUCAAGAAUUAUAUUUAUAUGAUACUUGGAUUACUUUGGAGAUGUAACUGUAUAUUAAGUUGCCCUCCAGAAAUUCAUUGGCAGUAUGGUUUGUACUUGGACCAGACGUAAUAGUAAUAAAAUCGGUCCUUGUUUGGGUAUAAUUGAAUUGUACUUGCCUUAACCCCCACCCAUUUUUAUUUUGGGUGACCUCACAUCAGGUAGGGAUACCGCGCUGAACUCUAUGCAUAUCA
rnacentral:rRNA from 1 species